rnacentral:rRNA from 1 species
AGCGAACGCUGGCGGCGUACCUAACACAUGCAAGUCGAACGGGGAUCAUCGGGUUAGCAAUAAUUCGGUGGUUCUAGUGGCGCACGGGUGAGUAACACGUGGGUAACCUGCCCUAGAGAUCGGGAUACCCCCUCGAAAGGGGGGCUAAUACCGGAUGCGUUCCUCGGGCCGAAAGGCCUGAGGAGGAAAGGUGGCGCAAGCUGCCGCUCUUGGAGGGGCUCGCGGCCUAUCAGCUAGUUGGCGGGGAACGGCCCACCAAGGCUAUGACGGGUAGCUGGUCUGAGAGGACGACCAGCCACACGGGGACUGAGACACGGCCCCGACUCCUACGGGAGGCAGCAGUGGGGAAUUUUCCGCAAUGGGCGAAAGCCUGACGGAGUGACGCCGCGUGUGGGACGAAGGCCUUC